UUGGAGGGCAAGUCUGGUGCCAGCAGCCGCGGUAAUUCCAGCUCCAAUAGCGUAUAUUAAAGUUGUUGCAGUUAAAAAGCUCGUAGUUGAAUUUCGGGAUCAAUUUAUCGGUCGUGCCUCUGGUAUGCACUGGUAUUAUUGAUUUCUACCUUCUGACGAACCAUGAUGUCAUUAAUUUGGUGUCAUGGGGAAACAGGACUGUUACUUUGAAAAAAUUAGAGUGUUUAAAGCAGGCUAACGCUUGAAUACAUUAGCAUGGGAUAAUGAAAUAGGACGUUUGAUCCUAUUUUGUUGGUUUCUAGGAUUGACGUAAUGAUUAAUAGGGAUAGUUGGGGCAUUAGUAUUCAAUUGUCAGAGGUGAAAUUCUUGGAUUUAUUGAAGACUAACUACUGCGAAAGCAUUUGCCAAGGAUGUUUUCAUUAAUCAAGAACGAAAGUUAGGGGAUCGAAGACGAUCAGAUACCGUCGUAGUCUUAACCAUAAACUAUGCCGACUAGGGAUCGGAUGAUGUUAAUUUUUUAAUGACUCAUUCGGCGCCUUACGGGAAAC
rnacentral:rRNA from 1 species